rnacentral:rRNA from 1 species
GCCCAGAUGGGAUUAGCUUGUUGGUGAGGUAACGGCUCACCAAGGCGACGAUCCCUAGCUGGUCUGAGAGGAUGACCAGCCACACUGGAACUGAGACACGGUCCAGACUCCUACGGGAGGCAGCAGUGGGGAAUAUUGCACAAUGGGCGCAAGCCUGAUGCAGCCAUGCCGCGUGUAUGAAGAAGGCCUUCGGGUUGUAAAGUACUUUCAGCGGGGAGGAAGGUGUUGUGGUUAAUAACCGCAGCAAUUGACGUUACCCGCAGAAGAAGCACCGGCUAACUCCGUGCCAGCAGCCGCGGUAAUACGGAGGGUGCAAGCGUUAAUCGGAAUUACUGGGCGUAAAGCGCACGCAGGCGGUCUGUCAAGUCGGAUGUGAAAUCCCCGGGCUCAACCUGGGAACUGCAUUCGAAACUGGCAGGCUUGAGUCUUGUAGAGGGGGGUAGAAUUCCAGGUGUAGCGGUGAAA